rnacentral:rRNA from 1 species
UACAGAGGAUGCAAGCGUUAUCCGGAAUGAUUGGGCGUAAAGCGUCUGUAGGUGGCUUUUUAAGUCCGCCGUCAAAUCCCAGGGCUCAACUCUGGACAGGCGGUGGAAACUACCAAGCUGGAGUACGGUAGGGGCAGAGGGAAUUUCCGGUGGAGCGGUGAAAUGCGGUAGAGAGUCGGGAAAGAACACCAACGGCGAAAAGCACUCUGCUGGGCCGACACUGACACUGAGAGACGAAAGCUAGGGGAGCGAAUGGG